rnacentral:misc_RNA from 1 species
GAUGAAGAACGUAGCGAAAUGCGAUACUUGGUGUGAAUUGCAGAAUCCCGUGAACCAUCGAGUCUUUGAACGCAAGUUGCGCCCGAAGCCAUUAGGCCGAGGGCACGCCUGCCUGGGCGUCACACGUCGUUGCCCCCCCAUCUACUCCUUCGGGAUUGCGGGGGGCGGAUGAUGGCCUCCCGUGCGCCUCGUCGCGCGGUUGGCAUAAAUACCAAGUCCUCGGCGACGCACGCCACGACAAUCGGUGGUUGCGAAACCUCGGUUGCCCGUCGUGUGCGGUCGUCGCGCAUCGAGGGCUCGAAAAAAUUGCCGGGCUCCGGCUCGGCUUUCAACGCGACCCCAGGUCAGGCGGGGUUACCAGCUGAAUUUAAGCAUAUCAAUAAGCGGAGGA